AGAGUUUGAUCAUGGCUCAGAUUGAACGCUGGCGGCAUGCUUAAUACAUGCAAGUCGAACGGUAACAGAUUCUUCGGAAUGCUGACGAGUGGCGGACGGGUGAGUAAUACAUAGGAAUCUGCCCAUGUAGUGGGGGACAACUUGGGGAAACUCAAGCUAAUACCGCAUAAUUCCUACGGGAUAAAGAGGGCCACUGCUUGCAAGCUCUUGCUACUGGAUGAGCCUAUGUCGGAUUAGUUAGUUGGUAAGGUAAUGGCUUACCAAGACAGCGAUCCGUAGCUGGUUUGAGAGGAUGAUCAGCCACACUGGGACUGAGACACGGCCCAGACUCCUACGGGAGGCAGCAGUAGGGAGUAUUGGACAAUGGGCGCAAGCCUGAUCCAGCAAUGCCGCGUGUGUGAAGAAGGCCUGCGGGUUGUAAAGCACUUUCAAUUGGGAAGAAAGAUUAUGAGUUAAUACCUUAUAAUAUUGACGUUACCAAUACAAGAAGCACCGGCUAACUCUGUGCCAGCAGCCGCGGUAAUACAGAGGGUGCGAGCGUUAAUCGGAAUUACUGGGCGUAAAGAGUACGUAGGUGGUUAAAUCAGUCGGAUGUGAAAGCCCCAGGCUUAACUUGGGAAUUGCAUUCGAUACUAUUUGACUAGAGUACGGUAGAGAGAAGUGGAAUUCCUAGUGUAGCGGUGAAAUGCGUAGAUAUUAGGAAGAACACCAGUGGCGAAGGCGGCUUCUUGGAUCGAUACUGACACUGAGGUACGAAAAGCGUGUGGGAGCAAACAGGAUUAGAUACCCUGGUAGUCCCACGCCCUAAACGAUGAGAACU
rnacentral:rRNA from 1 species